GCCCUAGUAACGGCGAGUGAAGCGGCAACAGCUCAAAUUUGAAAUCUGGCUCUCGGGCCCGAGUUGUAAUUUGUAGAGGAUACUUUUGAUGCGGUGCCUUCCGAGUUCCCUGGAACGGGACGCCAUAGAGGGUGAGAGCCCCGUCUGGUUGGAUGCCAAAUCUCUGUAAAGUUCCUUCAACGAGUCGAGUAGUUUGGGAAUGCUGCUCUAAAUGGGAGGUAUAUGUCUUCUAAAGCUAAAUACCGGCCAGAGACCGAUAGCGCACAAGUAGAGUGAUCGAAAGAUGAAAAGCACUUUGAAAAGAGAGUUAAAAAGUACGUGAAAUUGUUGAAAGGGAAGCGUUUAUGACCAGACUUGGGCUUGGUUAAUCAUCUGGGGUUCUCCCCAGUGCACUUUUCCAGUCCAGGCCAGCAUCAGUUUUCCCCGGGGGAUAAAGGCGGCGGGAAUGUGGCUCUCUUCGGGGAGUGUUAUAGCCCACCGUGUAAUACCCUGGGGGGGACUGAGGUUCGCGCAUCUGCAAGGAUGCUGGCGUAAUGGUCAUCAACGACCCGUCUUGAAACAC
rnacentral:rRNA from 1 species